CCCUGAUAUAAGCAAUAGGUCGCUGGCUGC
rnacentral:piRNA from 1 species